CCUACGGGAGGCAGCAGUGAGGAAUCUUAGACAAUGGGCGCAAGCCUGAUCUAGCCAUGCCGCGUGAGUGAUGAAGGCCUUAGGGUCGUAAAGCUCUUUCGCCUGUGAAGAUAAUGACUGUAGCAGGUAAAGAAACCCCGGCUAACUCCGUGCCAGCAGCCGCGGUAAUACGGAGGGGGUUAGCGUUGUUCGGAAUUACUGGGCGUAAAGCGCGCGUAGGCGGACAUUUAAGUCAGAGGUGAAAUCCUACAGCUCAACUGUAGAACUGCCUUUGAUACUGAGAGGCUUGAGUUAUUGUGAAGUGGUUAGAAUGUGUGGUGUAGCGGUGAAAUGCUUAGAUAUCACACAGAAUACCCAUUGCGAAGGCAGAUCACUAACAAUAUACUGACGCUCAUGGACGAAAGCGUGGGGAGCGAACGGGAUUAGAUACCCCGGUAGUCCACGCCGUAAACGAUGAAUGCCAGUCGUCGGGCAGUAUACUGUUCGGUGACACACCUAACGGAUUAAGCAUUCCGCCUGGGGAGUACGGUCGCAAGAUUAAAACUCAAAGGAAUUGACGG
rnacentral:rRNA from 1 species